ensembl:lncRNA
AUGGUUCCGUUCAGAUGGAUUAAAAUGUCUUUGUUUGUGAUACUGGUUCUGUUUACAGCAGUAACUGGACAAAACUCUUCCUUCACUGUCAGAGUUGGAGAUGAAGUCACUUUGCCUUGUGAAAAUGUGAUUAAAAAUCAGAACAAAUGUGACAGUACCACUUGGAUUAUCUGGGGGUCAUCUGGGGGAACAGCAAGAGAGCUGGUUACUCUUGGGAAGAUUAGUCAAACUGGGAUUUCCAAAGAUAUAUCAGACAGACUGAAUGUUACAGAGAACUGUUCUCUGGUUAUAAAGAAGGUCACAGACAAGGAUGUUGGUCGUUACACCUGCAGACAGUUUAUAUCAGGACAACAACAAGGUCCAGACUCUCAGGUUGAUCUGUCUGUUAUUAACAUUGAGAAACAACAGUACAAUGAUACAGUCAUCUUGAUCUGCGCUGUGUUGACAUAUGGACGCUGUGGACACACAGUGAAGUGGCUGUAUGAUGAAAAAGAUAAGAAUGUGUUGGACACAUUAGAUACUGUCUGUUCAUCAAAGGUGACAUUUACAACUCAUCUCAAUCAGAAGUCAAACUAUUAUGAGUUAUUUAAGUGUAACGUGACAGAUGCUAAGAGAGGACAAACGCUGCUGUGUGAUGUCGGUCCCCAGUCCUCAUGUGAGAAAACAGGUACAGUUUAAAAUUUUAUUAUUUUAUUUCAUUUUGUCUCAUCAGAUGGUAACAUGAGGUAUUUUGUCACAAUUUGUUGUUUUAUUUCAUAUCAUAUUCAACAAAAUCAAAAGGAAGCAAAGGGAAUAAUAAGACUGCAGAGGAUGACACUUCAACACAAGGUAGUGACUUAACAUCUCUCUCUCUCUCUCUCUCUCUCUCUCUCUCUCCCUCCUGCUCUCUCUCCUCUCUCUCUCAUCUGUUUCUCUCUCUCUCUCCUCUGUUCGUCUCUCUCUCUAACCCUCCCUCUCUCUCUCUCUCUCUCCUGUUUCUCUCUUCUCCUUCUCUCUCUCUCUCUCUCCUCUGUUCCUCUCUCUCUCUCUCCUCUGUCUCUCUCGCUCUCUCCUCUGUCUCUCUCGCUGUCUCUCUCUCCUCUGUUUCUCACCCCCCCCCCUCUCACUCUUUCUCUCUAUCUCCCUCCUGCUCUCUCUCUCAUCUGUUCCUCUCUCUCUCUCUCUCUCUCUCCUCGUUCUGAGGCGCCGGCAUGGCGUCCAGCAGCGGAUUCUCCAGGCUGACUCGGAAGCACGGCAUUAAAACCGGAGCCGGCUCUCCGUGCAGGGUGGAGGAGGUAGCACUGACUAGUUUGAUUAUCACUUCAGAGUCCGUGUGUCGAUGAUUUCGAGUACAUCCUCUUUGCGACAUCAUCCACUGUGAAAUGAUUCGGAUGUGGCUAAGAGGGACAUUUGAUUAAGGCCUGUCCGAGCCGCGGUGCCCCGGCAG